ACUUGCACAGGGUUACGUAGUCAAUAAAUACCUUGUUGGCCAGUCCUUCACUUCGUCACUCAACUAUCAGUUACCGCAAGCCCACCACAAAGCUAGGAGAAACGUGCUACAAGCAGUGAGCAAGGGGAGGACUUCCCCCAGGUGAGUGUGACGCACAAGGAGGGGCAGGGGCAGCUGCUGGGGACCUGUGGGGGGACCACUUCCAGCUGUGCCUUCACAGAGGCCUCAACUGCUGAGGGCGACUUCACCUAAGGUCACACCCUUCCCGGGCACUCGGAUCCCUCCCUCAACUGGACAGGGAGGGUACAGAGGCCUGGCCACCUGGCUCAGUGUGGGACAAUCGUGAUGUGGGCCGCUUUAGCCCUCAAGCUCCUGGUUUCAGUACCUGCAUCACAGCUUGGCUUCUGCUUCGGGUCAAUCCUGCUUUCGUUCCUCCCCUCCACAGCGGUAGCUGCCUAGGUACUUCCUUAUGAACAUUCUGCCCCUCAACUCAGCCUCAGCAUCCCCUUUCCAAUUUACAACAGCAGGGAGAGGGGAGAGGCCAGGACCUGAAGGCAGGAGGGGUGGGGAUCCACAUUAUAUCCAUUUAGAAAGUGAAAAAGGACUAUCAUGCUUGUAACAUAAUUGGCAGAGUCUGCAAACCCCACCAAAGCCUUGUGGCUAGGAGGGCAAAGGCCCCAAAACUGCUGUUAAAAAGGCUCAUCCUACUCUUACCAGCUGUGUGACUGCGGGCCACUUUGACCCUCAGUUUCCUUGUCUGUGAAAAGACAUUUUCACAUUUUAAGAAAUUAGUUGAGAAAAAGCACGUUUUACAUUUUAAGAUGCUGUACAGACAUUACUGCUCCUUUCAACUGCUUUUUGAUUCUGAAGAGUUGCCAUUAAUGCCUAACUGCUGGCAACUCAAUCAGAAUGUCAAGAGAAAGCGAUGCCAGCCACUGGUGGCCAGUAAUUACUGUUCUCUUUUCCUGUUUUUCUCAACUCAGUGACAUGAGGCUGAGAUAGAGCGUAUGUGUUUUACGAGUACACUGCAGAGUUAUGGUCCAUGCUCUUAAUUUAAAGACUGGGUACAUGAAACCCAUCAUUAACCUACUUUUUAUUUGUACGUAGGUGAUACUUACUCUUGUGAGGCUGGGACUCAAUAAAAAUAAAAAGAAAAAAGAAAGUUUCCACGCUUGCCAUAGGAAGCCAUCGUAAACCUGAGCUGGGGGUCGAAUCACAACGAGAAAUUCAGUGACUUGUUCUGAACUGGCCCCUGCUGGAAAGGCCGCCCCCCACGGCGCUCUGCCGGGAAGACCCCCAUCUCACCCUCCACACGGAUCCACAGCCUCAGCGUGGGCACCUCAGCUAGAACCGGGUUCUCCUGUGUCUAAAAUCCCACGGCCCCGCGUUUCCUCUCAUGGCACUUAUCCUAUUCUAUCUAAAACUACAACUAUCUGGAUCGUUUCUUUCCUACUGGGCUGUGAAGGUAUGAUGCGUGUCCCCCAGCUGUUAGAUCCCCGUUGCCACUGAUGUAAGCCCAUGGGAAGGCUUGCCGAGUUGAUGAAGGCAGUGGGGAGGGGAAGAAAGGAGCCAGGCUUUUCUCUUCCUGCUACCUCUCCGAAGCUCUGCUAACCGGCAACCUGAUUUCUAAGUCUGUACUGGGCCCUGAACACUGUGAUGGCGAGGCUGACACUGAAAACACUCUUUGUGCACAGUCCCCGCUGGCUUCGCUGGCCCUUUCAUUUCCUCAUCUGGGGGAGGGAGGACUGAGACCUGCUUUGGCAUUUAGGUCGGAGGAACCUUCAACGACCAAGAGCGGUGUGGUGCCUAUGAGAAAGAUGACAUCCGAGGGACAGGGGUGAAGGCCAGAGAAUUCUGAGACUGGUCUCUAGGCUGGAGGCAAGCUGGAGUCAUCGGGUCUCAGAGACUCGAGGAGCCAGAGAAAGAGAGAGGUGUCCUGUUUGGCCUGGGUGGUUUUUAAUGGCAGUUUAUAAUAAUUAUAGCUCAGAUUUACGGAGCGCUCACUCAGGGCCAGGCACCACAUACAUGAUCUCAAUUAAGUUGCUCAGCAUUCUUACAGGAGGAAACUGAGGCACAGAGAGCUCCAGCAACUUGCCUUGAAGUCACACAGCUGGCACGCAACAGAAUCAGGAUUUGGUUGCAGGCAUUUCUGCUUCAGAGCCAUUUCUCAGGCGCUAUCUUGCUAUUUGCUUGCGUCUCUAGAACCAUGGGUGUCUCCCAGAAGCUGUCCCCUGAAAACUGGGGGCUCCUGUGCUGGCUGGCUUCGGGCAGGGUUCACCAGUGGGAGAGGGAGCAGGAGACUGGAGGGCAAGCAAAGGGGAGGCCAAGGCAUUUCUUUUCCAAUCUCCUCCUCACCUCACUGAGCUCCCCUAACUCUCUUUCCACCCCUGCCUGCUGGUAGUCUCUGGGUACCCCCACCCCUGCCUGCUCCUGCAAGAAGUCAUUCAUGAAGUCCCUUCAGGGAGCCAUCUAGGGCGAAUGCUGCUUCCCGCCGGCACCACCACUACUCACACGGCUCCCACCUGCUUCACACCGUGUCACACACAGGAGACCGGCAGUGGUGGGAAGAGCUGGCUCCACGCGAAUAAAUGAAGCUGCUGUCUGAUCACGUUAUCAUGCAGGACAGCUGGCCACAACACAAGGUACGUAUACAGAAAUAUUUAUAGAAGGGCUCUGCCUCCUCCAGAGCCUGGGGCCUCCUUCCCAUCACAGCUCUUCAAAUAUUUGAGCUGGCGAUCUUGUUCCCUCUUCAGUCUGACCAUCUCCACUUGGAACAUCCCCAUUCUGGUCAAUCGUUUCCCGAAUGAUUUCCCACCCUGGGGGCAGAAGGGUUCCUGUCUGGAACCAAAGCAAGUUCCAGAAUGACCCAGAAGGACAGGAGUUUCCUGGAGAUUCAACCCCCAGCUUUGGGGCAAUAAGAGCAAAGCGUCUGUUGAACUAUAACGUGCCACGAACUAUACGAAUGCACCGUGCUAUUUAAUUCCCACCAGAGCUCUUCCAGAAAGGCUGCCCGGGUAGAAUGGAGCGGGGAGGGUGUGACCAUCAGCUGUGCGUGUUAACGUGGCAUGUGGCUGGCUAGGCUGAAUUGUAGUACACAGCUGCUUAAUCAAACACCAACCGAGGUGUUGAAGGUAUUUGGUAGAUGUGGCUGAUAGCUACAACCAAUCAGGUGACUUUGAAGCAGCGGUUCUCAACCUGUGGGUCGCGACCCCUUUGGGGGUCGAACGGCCCUUUCACAGGGGUCGCCUAAGACCAUUGGAAAACACAUAUAUAAUUACAUAUUGUUUUUGCGAUUAAUCACUAUGCUUUAAUUAUGUUCAGUUUGUAACAAUGAAAUUGGGGGUCACCACAACAUGAGGAACUGUAUUAAAGGGUCGCGGCAUUAGGAAGGUUGAGAACCACUGCUUUAAAGAGAUCAUCUUCGAUAAUCUGAGUGAGCCUCACCCAAGCAGUUGACAGGCCUUCGGAGCAAAACUGAGGGAGGUUUCCCUGAGGAAGAGGAAAUCCUGCCUCAAGCCUGCUGAAUUCCAACUACCCUAGAGUUCGGACUUGCCAGCCUCUACAACCGCGGCAGCCACUGCCUUGAAAUCAAUCGUAUGUAUGUGUGUGUGUGUGUGUGUGUGUGUGUGUGUGUGUAUCAUAGCUUCAAGUUAUAUUGGUAUAAUAUAUAUUAUUCGUAUUUUACUGCUUCUGUUCCUUGGAGAGCCCUUAUUGAUAGAGUCAUACCCAAUCUCAAAAGGUCACACCCCUGUGACCAUAGGUCAAGCCUCUAUGCCACUACUUAUACUGUGCCCUCCACCACCUGCAACUGAACCCAAACAACCCUGGUGUGUACCUGAGUCUCCCCAGUGUCAGCUGCCCACCAGUGUAUUUGAACAGUAACAUGGAUCCUUAGCUAGAUUUUGAGAAUAAACUAUUCAGAUAGAAAGGCACAAAUGUAUGGGAGAAGUUUGUUUUUAUAGCGCGUCAUUCUGUAGUGGGUGGGAAGUAGGGUUAACUCAGUGCUUAAGAACAGUAACCUGUUCUAUUCUGGGCAAGGGCGCUAACUUGCUGUGUAACUUUGGGCAAUCCUGUUUCACCACUUGAUUCAUUAUAAUGCCAACCUGAAAGCCUGCUGCCCCCAUCCACUCAAAUUGGCAUUAAGUGGUCAGAUGGCCCAUCAGGAUUUGGAUCUGACCUACUUUCUAGUUGGACUCCAUCCAUGAAGGGACCCACGACAUAUUCAAGUUCAUGGUAUCAAGCCAACAUGGAGGGAUGGAUGAGAAUUGCUCAGCAGACGCUGGCUGAACCCGCCUGCGUUCCUCACCCCGUCCUGGGUGCCACCUGGGGGUUAAAGUGAAGACCCAGUUUCCACACUCCAGACACUGCCAUGCAACAGAGAGUGCCACUUGUCCUGGCCUGUAUGCUCUCUGCGCCCCUGUGCUCUGUUCCAAUCUCCCUCAUGGUGUAGGAGGGCCGUCCUGAGUAUAGGGCUGGCUCUUAAAGGCACAAAAGGACAAUUUAAAAUGAAAGAAAAAGAAAAAAAAGUAGAGAAUGCCAAGUCCC